rnacentral:rRNA from 1 species
AUGGUUCCUCAAAGUCUUCGGCUUGCGAGGCGAGUUCCCCAUCUUCUUGUUUGGGCGACUUCAAUAGUUCGGUCACCAAUAACUUUUAAGCCAAUAUCGAGGCGGGCCCUCACCAUUAACUUCGCCCUUAGUGACCCUCGAUUUCUAUGCGUCUGCCAGAAGGCGAGCAGUCCCGUGUUUUUUACAAAAACACCUAUCGAGGGCCAGAAGCAUACCCGUCAAAUAGGCCAGAGGCGCAUCGAGCUGUCCAUCAUCUCAAAACAAGAAACCCAAUCUCAUCCAGAAGAAACCUUCGAGGGACAUGGCCGAUGCCCCUGGCUCAUCCACGCACCCUCACGGCCAACUACCGGGCGAUUGGCCCAGUUGCUCCAUCUCACGGCUCCAGCUAUGCGAUCUCCAGCAGCAAGGGUAUCUUCCGGCCGCAGAUCUCAUGCCCGUUCGUGUGGGGCUCACCUCGGCCGAUGGGAGGCCUUCGCAGAGAACUUUCUCAAUCCAAAUAAGGAUGAGAGGGUAUGUUUCGUAUCCUUCCUUCUAAGAGGCCUAGGAUUCCCCAUUCACCCUUUCUUAAGGGGCCUGGUAGAGUUUUAUGGGCUCCAGCUCCACAACUUCACCCCGGUAUCAAUUCUGCAUAUUUCUGGCUUCGUCGCUUUCUGUGAGAUGUUCCUAGACUGUGAGGCCCAUUUUGAGCUAUGGAGGAAAUUUCUGCCUCGUCUGUCGCAACCACGAGGGGUCAAUUCUUGA